UAUCAUUAACUGAAUCCAUAGGUUAAUGAGGCGAACCGGGGGAACUGAAACAUCUAAGUACCCCGAGGAAAAGAAAUCAACCGAGAUUCCCCCAGUAGCGGCGAGCGAACGGGGAGGAGCCCAGAGCCUGAAUCAGCAUGUGUGUUAGUGGAAGCGUCUGGAAAGGCGCGCGAUACAGGGUGACAGCCCCGUACACAAAAGCGCAUGUGCUGUGAGCUCGAUGAGUAGGGCGGGACACGUGGUAUCCUGUCUGAAUAUGGGGGGACCAUCCUCCAAGGCUAAAUACUCCUGACUGACCGAUAGUGAACCAGUACCGUGAGGGAAAGGCGAAAAGAACCCCGGCGAGGGGAGUGAAAAAGAACCUGAAACCGUGUACGUACAAGCAGUGGGAGCACCCUUUGGGUGUGACUGCGUACCUUUUGUAUAAUGGGUCAGCGACUUAUAUUCUGUAGCAAGGUUAACCGAAUAGGGGAGCCGGAGGGAAACC
rnacentral:rRNA from 1 species